CCUGCGCGUGUGGUCUUUCGGCGAGAGAGAAAGGGAAAGAAAAAGCAGCCCACGAGGGGAGGCCGGCCACCGGGCAGGAGCCGCGCGGCUGGCACGACCCGCACUCUGAGUCCGUCCCCACCUUCCCUUCACACACAAAGCGUGGUGCUAAGGGCUGUUCUGCAGGAAUAGGUUCGAAAAUAUUUAUUACGCGGUGAAGAGAAACCUGUGGGUUUCUGUGGAGAGGUGUGAUGGUCAGACAAGCAUCUGCUUUUGCAGAUUUUAGUGCUUGUAGACCCUGUUUUUAAGCUCUUCAUCCGAGUAGAUGGCUGCACAAUGCGCGAUGCCAGGCACGUAGUGGGAUCCAAAAUGUUAAUAUAGGCACCUACCUGUUUUCACAGGAGCUCGCAGUAUUUGCUGUGCUCGAAGUGGGCUGCGGAAUACAAAAUAAAGGCUAAAGUUACUACUAGGUUUUUUCGUUUGCCACAGGUCUGCGAGCUCCGUGAAGACAUUCACACAUUGAUUGAAUUUCCUAUCAGAAAAGAUCCUAUACUUUAUCCAUCAAGCAAGAUUCUAAGACCUGGCCAGUGAUCAAUUAUGUUCAGCUCUCAAGAUUUUGUAUAUAAAACGUGGAUUCAGUUGAAAUUUAUCCUGGUUGUACGAGAGUGUGGUGUCUGUCAGGGAACAUACAUAAUGACCAAAAGGCAUUCUUAAUGAAGGAAGAUUUUAAAUAAAUUUUUAUGGAAUCUAACAGCUGCAUACAUUUGAAAAACAAUAGUAUUUACCAAGGAUCUUUGCAGAUAUAAUCAAGUUAAUAAGAGGCCAUGCUGCAUUAAGGUGAACCCAUGUUCGGUGAAUAAUGUCCUUGUAAGAAAAAGGAAAUUUAGAUAGAGACAUAUAGACUGACAUGUGAAGACAGAGGCAGCGAUUGAAGUUAUGUUGUCACAAGCCAAGGAACACCAAAAGCUGCCAGCAACCAGCAGAAGCUACAAGAGGCAAGGAUUCUUCUCUAGAGCUUUCGGAGAGAAUAUAGCUCAGUCAAAUUCUUGGUUUGGACUUGUGCCUCCAGAAUCAUGUCAGCAUAAAUUUCUGUUGUGUUAAGCUACCCAGUUUGUGGUACUUUGUUAUGACAUCCUUGGGAAAUGAAUAUAGAGGGAUUGAUACCGCCCUCAAAUGAAGGUUGGAAAAUAUCCAGAACUUUUAAUGAGCAGUACAUGAUCCAUCGAAAGAGAAGAGAUGCCCAUUGCUUUGGUGGAGCGGGGUCAGAAUGGAUGCUUGUACUAUCAAUGUUAACUUUUUAUUGCUGCACGAAGAAAAGUGAGGAAUUCAAUACUGGGUUGCUGAUGCAAUGAGGAACACUUGAGGGACCUCCGAGCAUUGGCAAUUUAUGAAGUUAGAGAAGCAUUUCAAUAUAUUAAAAACCUAUGGAGUUCUAACAGCAUGUGCCAGGAAUAUGCCUUGUUUGACCUACACCAAUAGAUCAUUCCUUC